CACAAACAAAGGAACUCUACAACCAACGUCUUCUUCUCUCUAGACUUCUUUUCAAAACUAAUGUUUCUUCUCUUUCUUCAUUUUCUUGAGGUUAGUAACGUCCAUGGCAACAGCACUUCACAUGAGGAAAAUGACUGAUCAAGAAGAAAAUCCUGAUACUAGUAGGGCUCUGAGUCUCAUUCACUCAAACUCAAACUCCUCCUCCUUCUGUAGCAUCACCGUUUCCCAACCCAAGAUUAGAAUCAAGAUUCCAAAACUCUUGGCCAAGGCCAUGCAGGAAAAAAGUAAUGGUUACAGUGCUAGUGCCAAUAAACCUGAUCGCACCAAAGCCAAGAAAAACAAGUGGGGGAAGGUUCGCUCCGUCUUCUCUUGCGCCUUUAACAGCAACAAAUUACCUAGGACUUACUCUAAUGUUCAAAGAAAUGUUGAUGCUAAUGAUCAUCAUCAAGAAGGCGUAGCAGAGGGAAAAAUCUUGAGAAGGGUUGAAUCUGAUGUGAUUGGAGAUCAUCAGCCUGUUGCCGUUCUUUCAGAUCAGUCUCCAUUAUCCAAGUCAUAUUCAAUUAAGAAACUUUUGGAGAUUGAAGAUGAAGAGCAGAAGCGGCCAAACAAGGAAACGAGAGCAAGCAAGAAGCAGCCAAGAAAAGCAGAUAAGUCUCUGAAUAUCUCACUAUCUUUCUCAAGAUUGUUUAAAAAGAGUACCAACUGCAAUUUCAUGAGAGGCAAAUUCAACGAAAUUGAUACCAAUAGCGUUGGUGUUGGCAGAAUUGCAGAUAUAGUGAUUGAAAGACAGGCAAGUACCCGCAGCCUUUCUAGGCUGCCAUCAACCGGAAACACUAGUGAUAUUGUGAACUUGCCUAGAGUUCCAUCGAGAAUACUAACCUGUCGCCGGAACUUGAAGAUGUCUCAGUCGUUGACGAAGAUUAAAAGUACGCGGAUUAAUGAAGGAAAAUCAUCAGAAAGGGAAGAUAGAGGUGAAGAGGAGCUGUGCAAAAAGAGGAUUUUAAUGGGAGAGAAGUGCAAGCCACUAAGUUAUUCUGGCACCCUUGAGUGAUAAAGAUGGGGUUUUGUUACCAGAUGUCAUUCAACGAUAAAGAUGGAGUUUGUUUUCAUGAGCAAG
rnacentral:misc_RNA from 1 species